AUAAAUGCAGGGUCACUGAUCUCAAAUAAAAGCUGUUCUCAAUUGUGCCAACUGUUCUUCUCCCAACCCUCAUCACUCACAGUGACUCAAUAAUGUGGCUGGUGAAAAACAAAACUGAAGAGCAGGAAUUUCAUUCAUUACCACACAUCUGUUUUCUGACAGAGUAAAUAGUAUACUCCAUGCCCUCUCACCCUUAAGAGCCACCAUCUCCAAAACAUUUUUAUAGCUUCAUUUGGUUUAAAUGACUUUGAGUUGGCUCUUCCAUGGAAGCAUAGCAGCACUGGUCUUCAAGUAUUCCUGCAUCAUAAACUGCUGGCUGAAUUGCCUUAUUCUGUUCCUCUCCACAACCUUUGAAUUAAAUUGU
rnacentral:lncRNA from 1 species